rnacentral:pre_miRNA from 1 species
GGGUCUCUAAGGGAAGCCCAGGUCUGUAGAUUUCAAUUCCAUGGCGAUUAGCUGAUGUACUAUUGAAUUGAAUUGAAAUCUGCAAAUCUGGGUUUCCCUUUAAGAUUC